GACGCGGUGGUCUAGUAAUCAUGGUCAGCGCGUUGGACUCCGGAUCGAGCGGUCCUGGUUCGAGCGCUUGCCGCGGUCA